rnacentral:lncRNA from 1 species
CAGGUUUCAAGCAAUAUGGGAAAGAAAAAGGAUCUCUCUGUUGCAGAAAAGCAUUAAAUAGUGCAAUGAAAAUGUAAGUGUGAUCAUCAUACUGUAAAGAGAUUUGUGGCUGAUUCAGAGCACAGACUGGUUCGUGCAGAUAAAGGAAGGUUACUGCCAGACACAUUCAUUGGAUUAAGAGGGUAGCUGCUAAACUUGUACUAUAAUCUUUCAGGCUGGCCAACAACCUGGGCAAGGAAUUCUACUACUCUGGUCCAAAGACAUUGUGAACCCCUUCUGGUGGUGCUGUAAGCAAGCUGAAACCUAUAAACAGUUUCUGGUACAGACGACUGUACAAGAAGUCAAGGAGCUGGUGUGUGUAUGCUGUGAAGGAGAAGACCUACAGCUACAUCCCUGACCUACAGCGAAAAGUCUACCUGAUUUCCGAGCCUUCAACUGCCAAUCAACACCAACUGUAGAGAUUCCUAGCCUUGCUGCUGACAUCUUUCCAAACAUUACCUGAUUGUGAAUAGAAUUUGGAAGAUACAGACCAUAGAAAACAACCUAGCAAUGUCUCAACAUUGCCUCUGUACUUGUGCCUUGUAAAUAAAAUAAAGCCUUUAUUUUCAAACACUAGUGCAGCAUAUAUAAAGUUACCUAGAAAAAAAAAGUAUAUAACAUUUUAAUCUCAGGUGAC